rnacentral:sRNA from 1 species
GACGUCACCACAAGGAAGAUUCGUUAAGAUCUCCAAGACAACUGAUGGUCUCACUUUUUGUGAGGUUGAUGUGUUUGGCGUCCCUGUCUAAUAUUUAUUAAAGCCGAUGACUAAGCUGAAUUGUUGCCGACUUCAGAUACAUGUAUAUGUUUGCGCAUCCUGAAGAAUUGAUUAUCUGUUCCUAUUUAAUGUGACGCUUCAAGUUAAAAUUCUACAGCUGUUGCCCUAUUUAUACCUCUAUAUGUUUUUGCUUUUAAUGUUACAUGUCUGGCUUAUUUAUAAUGCUACUUACAUUGUAUAUAACUGUGAAGCUUGUUAAUGUACCUUUAUAUAUUUAAUUCAACAUUUUGUAAAUAACUUUGAUCAGUACGUAUCGGGUUUUUUUCUGUUUAAUUACUGUGGUGGCAAUAAAUUACAUUUAUGGU